GGGGGUAUAACUCAGCAGCAUAAGUGCCUGCCUUGCAGGCACAAGGUCUUGAGUUCAAUUCCCAGUACCCCCC
rnacentral:tRNA from 1 species